rnacentral:tRNA from 1 species
AGGGCCUUAAGUUAAGAAAACUAAUAUCCUUCAAAGCUAUAAAUAAAGGGCUCCCUUUAGGCCUUG